rnacentral:rRNA from 1 species
CCUACGGGAGGCAGCAGUGAGGAAUAUUGGUCAAUGGGCGCAAGCCUGAACCAGCCAAGUCGCGUGAGGGAUAACGGUCCUAUGGAUUGUAAACCUCUUUUGUCGGGGAGCAAGGCCCGCCACGUGUGGCGGUAAGGAGAGUACCCGAAGAAAAAGCAUCGGCUAACUCCGUGCCAGCAGCCGCGGUAAUACGGAGGAUGCGAGCGUUAUCCGGAUUUAUUGGGUUUAAAGGGUGCGUAGGCGGAAGGUUAAGUCAGCGGUCAAAUGUCGGUGCUAAACACCGGCGUGACGUUGAAACUGGUCUGCUUGAGUGAGCGAGAAGUAUGUGGAAUGCGUGGUGUAGCGGUGAAAUGCGUAGAUAUCACGCAGAACUCCGAUUGCGAAGGCAGCAUACCGGCGAUAAACUGACGCUGAGGCACGAAAGCGUGGGGAUCGAACAGGAUUAGAUACCCGAGUAGUC